UACGAAGGGGGCUAGCGUUGCUCGGAAUCACUGGGCGUAAAGCGCUCGCAGGUGGUUCGUCGCGUCGUGCGUGAAAGACCCCGGCUCAACUGGGGAGCGUCGUGCGAUACGGGCGGACCGGAGGCCAGUAGGGGGAUGCGGAAUUCCGGGUGUAGUGGUGGAAUGCGUAGAGAUCCGGAGGAACACCAGCGGCGAAGGCGGCAUCCUGGACUGGUCCUGACACUCAUGAGCGAAAGCGUGGGGAGCGAUCCGG
rnacentral:rRNA from 1 species